GACGAACGCUGGCGGCGUGCUUAACACAUGCAAGUCGAACGGAAAGGCCCUGCUUUUGUGGGGUGCUCGAGUGGCGAACGGGUGAGUAACACGUGAGUAACCUGCCCUUGACUUUGGGAUAACUUCAGGAAACUGGGGCUAAUACCGGAUAGGAGCUCCUGCUGCAUGGUGGGGGUUGGAAAGUUUCGGCGGUUGGGGAUGGACUCGCGGCUUAUCAGCUUGUUGGUGGGGUAGUGGCUUACCAAGGCUUUGACGGGUAGCCGGCCUGGGAGGGUGACCGGCCACGUUGGGACUGAGAUACGGCCCAGACUCCUACGGGAGGAAGCAGUGGGGAAUAUUGCACAAUGGGCGGAAGCCUGAUGCAGCAACGCCGCGUGCGGGAUGACGGCCUUCGGGUUGUAAAACGCUUUCGCCUGUGACGAAGCGUGAGUGACGGUAAUGGGUAAAGAAGCACCGGCUAACUACGUG
rnacentral:rRNA from 1 species